GGCCACAAAAUCAAAGGUCGAAUCAAUCAUGAUAUUAGAAAUAUUGUUCAAUGUCUUUAGACCCCUUUGUUUGACAACAAAUGAUGAGUUGUAAUUAAUUUCGAAAUAUGUUUUAUAUUUUCUUCUUCUUCAAAAUAGGUGUUGUACUUCAGGAAAAGGGGAAGCAUAUUUGUUGGAAGAUGGAUAAAGAAAUAUUAGAGCAUGCACUAGACUUCUUUAAAUCCUGCUUUUUUAUCAGGUAACAUCAUUGAGUACAAAAGAAAUGCACCUUCACAGUAGACAACUUAUAACCUUUCGACAAGAAAUUGGGACUGCCUGCCAUUCAACCAUUGUACAUAUAUGAAUUUACCAGUCCUGUUGUGAAGAAACUUAUUUCAUCCUCUUUCAAGGGCCAUGUUAUUUAGGAUUUUAACUACUUGUCCUGCAUCACAAGCUUAAAAAGACUUCACAAUCUGACUGCAGAUGGAACUGCAUGGUUUGAAAUCCUCAUAAGAAUUCUGAGAAGCAUGGAGGCCUAUAAACCAGAUAAUGACAAGAUUUCAUAGUUCGAGGAGUACCAGGAAAAUUUACUUGCAGCAAAAUUGUACAUAAAGAUAGACUCACUCAAGCAUGA